rnacentral:rRNA from 1 species
GACGAACGCUGGCGGCGUGCUUAACACAUGCAAGUCGAGCGAUGAAAUUCCUUCGGGAAUGGAUUAGCGGCGGACGGGUGAGUAACACGUGGGUAACCUGCCUCAUAGAGGGGAAUAGCCUUUCGAAAGGAAGAUUAAUACCGCAUAAGAUUGUAGUUUCGCAUGAAACAGCAAUUAAAGGAGUAAUCCGCUAUGAGAUGGACCCGCGUCGCAUUAGCUAGUUGGUGAGGUAAAGGCUCACCAAGGCGACGAUGCGUAGCCGACCUGAGAGGGUGAGCGGCCACAUUGGGACUGAGACACGGCCCAGACUCCUACGGGAGGCAGCAGUGGGGAAUAUUGCACAAUGGGGGAAACCCUGAUGCAGCAACGCCGCGUGAGUGAUGACGGUCUUCGGAUUGUAAAACUCUGUCUUCAGGGACGAUAAUGACGGUACCUGAGGAGGAAGCCACGGCUAACUACGUGCCAGCCGCCGCGGUAA